AUGUCGACUUGGAGGUUGUGCCCUUGAGGCGUGGCUUCCGGAGCUAACGCGUUAAGUCGACCGCCUGGGGAGUACGGCCGCAAGGUUAAAACUCAAAUGAAUUGACGGGGGCCCGCACAAGCGGUGGAGCAUGUGGUUUAAUUCGAUGCAACGCGAAGAACCUUACCUACUCUUGACAUCCAGAGAACUUAGCAGAGAUGCUUUGGUGCCUUCGGGAACUCUGAGACAGGUGCUGCAUGGCUGUCGUCAG
rnacentral:rRNA from 1 species